ACACGUGGUAUCCUGUCUGAAUAUGGGGGGACCAUCCUCCAAGGCUAAAUACUCCUGACUGACCGAUAGUGAACCAGUACCGUGAGGGAAAGGCGAAAAGAACCCCGGCGAGGGGAGUGAAAAAGAACCUGAAACCGUGUACGUACAAGCAGUGGGAGCACAGGUUUACCUGUGUGACUGCGUACCUUUUGUAUAAUGGGUCAGCGACUUAUAUUCUGUAGCAAGGUUAACCGUAUAGGGGAGCCGGAGGGAAACCGAGUCUUAAUUGGGCGUUAAGUUGCAGGGUAUAGACCCGAAACCCGGUGAUCUAGCCAUGGGCAGGUUGAAGGUUGGGUAACACUAACUGGAGGACCGAACCGACUAAUGUUGAAAAAUUAGCGGAUGACCUGUGGCUGGGGGUGAAAGGCCAAUCAAACCGGGAGAUAGCUGGUUCUCCCCGAAAGCUAUUUAGGUAGCGCCUCGUGAAUUCAUCUCCGGGGGUAGAGCACUGUUUCGGCUAGGGGGCCAUCCCGGCUUACCAACCCGAUGCAAACUGCGAAUACCGGAGAAUGUUAUCACGGGAGACACACGGCGGGUGCUAACGUCCGUCGUGAAGAGGGAAACAACCCAGACCGCCAGCUAAGGUCCCAAAGUCAUGGUUAAGUGGGAAACGAUGUGGGAAGGCCCAGACAGCCAGGAUGUUGGCUUAGAAGCAGCCAUCAUUUAAAGAAAGCGUAAUAGCUCACUGGUCGAGUCGGCCUGCGCG
rnacentral:rRNA from 1 species